CGCCUCUUGCAUAUAUUAUAAGAGGUCUUGCCUGCCCAGUGACGCAAGUUUAACGGCCGCGGUAUUUUGACCGUGCAAAGGUAGCGUAAUCAAUCGUCUUUUAAAUGAAGACCUGUAUGAAUGGUAAAACGAAAACUCAACUGUCUCAUUCUUUCAGCCAAUGAAAUUGAUCUCUCCGUGCAGAAGCGGGGAUAUACACAUAAGACAAGAAGACCCUGUGGAGCUUUAGAUCUCUACUUACAUCUUAGAUUGGGGCGAUCACGGAGAAAACAGACCCUCCACGAAGAAAAACAUAGUCAAGAGUUACAGCUCCAAACACUAAUACAUUUAAUUCUAUGAACCGGCCUGCCGAUUAACGAACCUAGUUACCCCAGGGAUAACAGCGCAAUCCCCUUAAAGAGCACUUAUCACUAAGGGGGUUUACGACCUCGAUGUUGGAUCAGGACAUCCUAAUGGCGCACCAACUAUUAAGGGUUCGUUUGUUCAACGAUUAAAGUCCU
rnacentral:rRNA from 1 species